UGGGGUGUAGCUCAGUGGUAUAGUGUGUGCUUAGCAUGCACAAGGCCCUGAGUUCAAUCUCCAUCAAUCCUA
rnacentral:tRNA from 1 species